rnacentral:rRNA from 1 species
UGGGGAAUAUUGCACAAUGGGCGCAAGCCUGAUGCAGCCAUGCCGCGUGUAUGAAGAAGGCCUUCGGGUUGUAAAGUACUUUCAGCGGGGAGGAAGGGAGUAAAGUUAAUACCUUUGCUCAUUGACGUUACCCGCAGAAGAAGCACCGGCUAACUCCGUGCCAGCAGUCGCGGUAAUACGGAGGGUGCAAGCGUUAAUCGGAAUUACUGGGCGUAAAGCGCACGCAGGCGGUUUGUUAAGUCAGAUGUGAAAUCCCCGGGCUCAACCUGGGAACUGCAUCUGAUACUGGCAAGCUUGAGUCUCGUAGAGGGGGGUAGAAUUCCAGGUGUAGCGGUGAAAUGCGUAGAGAUCUGGAGGAAUACCGGUGGCGAAGGCGGCCCCCUGGACGAAGACUGACGCUCAGGUGCGAAAGCGUGGGGAGCAAACAG